GGUUGUUUUGCAAGCUCACAACCAAACUUGUUGUUUUACGAGCUCACAACGAACUCGGUCGGUUUUCCCAGGCUCACCGACUAGAACCAACCCCGAUUGUUUUCCCGGGCUCACAAUCAAACCCUUACACGCGUUGGUUUUUAACUUGGCUCACCAACCAACCUUAGUCCCCUUGAUUCAAUCCUCCGAUUGAACCAAGUAAAUACAAGUUAUA
rnacentral:lncRNA from 1 species